rnacentral:rRNA from 1 species
CCUACGGGGGGCUGCAGUGAGGAAUAUUGGUCAAUGGGCGGAAGCCUGAACCAGCCAUCCCGCGUGCAGGAAGACGGCCCUAUGGGUUGUAAACUGCUUUUCCAGGGGGCGAAACUUUCCGAUGUAUCGGGAUUUGACGGUACCCUGGGAAUAAGCAUCGGCUAACUCCGUGCCAGCAGCCGCGGUAAUACGGAGGAUGCGAGCGUUAUCCGGAUUUAUUGGGUUUAAAGGGUGCGUAGGCGGAUCGAUAAGUCAGUGGUGAAACCCUGCAGCUUAACUGUAGACUUGCCGUUGAUACUGUUGGUCUUGAGUGUGGUCAAGGUAGGCGGAAUGUGUAAUGUAGCGGUGAAAUGCUUAGAUAUUACACAGAACACCGAUUGCGAAGGCAGCUUACUGGGCCAUUACUGACGCUGAUGCACGAAAGCGUGGGGAUCGAACAGGAUUAGAUACCCUAGUAGUC